AAGGCCCUAGCUCAAUUAAAGCACCUGGGUUGCAUUCAGGAGAUGUAGGUUAGCAUCCUACGGGUCUUA
rfam:Nipponia nippon contig806, whole genome shotgun sequence.